AUCAACAUUGUUCAUAGAGAAGUUUGGCUAAAAGCAGAUGGUAGAGAGAAUAUCUUUCUAGUCUUACGAUCAGUCUGUGAGUUUCCAUUGUCCAUUUUGGUCUCAACUUCUUGCUGGCUUUUGAAGACCUCCCAGCACCCUAGCAGAAGGAUUGGCUGGUUGAAGUUUGUUGAAAAUCAUGAUCAUCAAAAUAUUCUGAAAGAAAGCAUCUCCUGUCCAGCCUACAUCCUAUCCUCUGCUUCCCAAAGACAGAAUUCCACCCUGUUUAAAACACUGGAAGCAAGAACAAAUAUGGCAGCAAUUGGAUAGCAAAGAGCAACUGGAG
rnacentral:lncRNA from 1 species